rnacentral:misc_RNA from 1 species
GUUUCACUCUGCUCAUUUUUGCUUCCUCUCAAAAUUACUCAUUUUAUAUAGUGGUUUAAAAUAUAUACCAUCAGUUUAGCCUAGUGGUUUAAGAUGGAUUAAAAAAAUUUAAAAUCGUUAGAUGUCAUUUCACCUAGCAUUUCUAAUGGCAAAAGUUAAGAUCCUCGAAUUCUAAUUUUGGGUGUUGAUAAAAUUUCUUUAAUUUUGAAAAGAAAUGCAGACAUAUUUUUUUCCCCAUUGAAUGCAUGACUUAUAGAGAGGGUGAGGAGCCCUAUGAUGAAAAUAACACUAGAUGGUAAGGAAUCUAGAAGUACUUUUGAGACUCGGGGACAGUUUGAAUUAAUAAAAUAAAUUAAUUUAUCAUUUUAAGAAAACAUAAAAUGCAUUUUUUAAUUUUAUAAAAUUAGAAAUUAAUUUAAUAAAGUAAGAAAUUAAUUAG